rnacentral:rRNA from 1 species
CAGCAGCCGCGGUAAUACGAAGGGUGCAAGCGUUAAUCGGAAUUACUGGGCGUAAAGCGUGCGUAGGUGGUGGUUUAAGUCCGUUGUGAAAGCCCUGGGCUCAACCUGGGAAUUGCAGUGGAUACUGGAUCACUAGAGUGUGGUAGAGGAUAGUGGAAUUUCCGGUGUAGCAGUGAAAUGCGUAGAGAUCGGAAGGAACAUCUGUGGCGAAGGCGACUAUCUGGGCCAACACUGACACUGAGGCACGAAAGCGUGGGGAGCAAACAGGAUUAGAUACCCCCGUAGUCCCUGUCUCUUAUAA